AGCAAGUCUUAGAACGAGUGAGAUGCUUUUUCUCUCAAGGACAAGCUGUGAUGGGGAGCGAAAUUUAGUAGCGAAGUUCCUGAUGUCACACUGCCAAGAAAAGCUUCUAGUGAGAAAGUAACUGCCCGUACCGCAAACCGACACAGGUAGUUGAGGAGAGAAUCCUAAGGUGUGCGAGAGAACUCUCGUUAAGGAACUCGGCAAAAUGACCCCGUAACUUCGGGAGAAGGGGUGCUGACCGCAAGGUCAGCCGCAGUGAAUAGGCCCAAGCGACUGUUUAUCAAAAACACAGGUCUCUGCAAAAUCGAAAGAUGACGUAUAGGAGCUGACGCCUGCCCGGUGCUGGAAGGUUAAGAGGAGAGGUUAGCGCAAGCGAAGCUUUGAAUUGAAGCCCCAGUAAACGGCGGCCGUAACGAUAACGGUCCUAAGGUAGCGAAAUUCCUUGUCGGGUAAGUUCCGACCCGCACGAAAGGCGUAACGAUUUGGGCACUGUCUCAACGAGAGACUCGGUGAAAUUAUAGUACCAGUGAAGAUGCUGGUUACCUGCGACAGGACGGAAAGACCCCAUGGAGCUUUACUGCAGUUUGAUAUUGCGUGUUUGUAUCACAUGUACAGGAUAGGUAGGAGCCGAAGAUACCGGGACGCCAGUCUCGGAGGAGGCAACGGUGGGAUACUACCCUUGUGAUAUGACCACUCUAACCCGCUGCUCUUAGCGAGCAGGGAGACAGUGUCAGACGGGCAGUUUGACUGGGGCGGUCGCCUCCAAAAAUGUAACGGAGGCGCCCAAAGGUUCCCUCAGAAUGGUUGGAAAUCAUUCGUAGAGUGUAAAGGCAGAAGGGAGCUUGACUGCGAGACCUACAAGUCGAGCAGGGACGAAAGUCGGGCUUAGUGAUCCGGUGGUUCCGCAUGGAAGGGCCAUCGCUCAACGGAUAAAAGCUACCCUGGGGAUUACAGGCUUAUCUCCCCCAAGAGUUCACAUCGACGGGGAGGUUUGGCACCUCGAUGUCGGCUCAUCGCAUCCUGGGGCUGUAGUCGGUCCCAAGGGUUGGGCUGUUCGCCCAUUAAAGCGGUACGCGAGCUGGGUUCAGAACGUCGUGAGACAGUUCGGUCCCUAUCCGUCGCGGGCGUUGGAAAUUUGAGAGGAGCUGUCCUUAGUACGAGAGGACCGGGAUGGACACACCGCUGGUGUACCAGUUGUUCUGCCAAGAGCAUCGCUGGGUAGCUAUGUGUGGACGGGAUAAACGCUGAAAGCAUCUAAGCGUGAAGCCCCCCUCAAGAUGAGAUUUCCCAUCACUUUAAGUGAGUAAGACCCCUGAGAGAUGAUCAGGUAGAUAGGUUGGGAGUGGAAGUACAGCGAUGUAUGGAGCGGACCAAUACUAAUCGGUCGAGGACUUAACCGA
rnacentral:rRNA from 1 species